rnacentral:lncRNA from 12 species
AGGCUAUGUGAAAUUUUGCUAAUAAACAAUCAAUUCUAGAUCCUUAUUGCUUUUGUUUUCAUAAUACAAGAUAACAUCCUUUAAAGUAAAACAACAAUUAAUAUUCAUGAAAUUUAAUAUAAAAUCUGCCGAAUCAAUGCAACGCCUUUACAGUCUAAGUCUAAAAAUAAGUGAGUCAGUAUCUCUUUCUCAUUAUUACAAAAACAGCAUAUACAGUAUCAUCAGUAUCAGUCAAUCUCGAUAUUAGAGAUUUAGAAGGGUAAAUGGUAUGUAGAAUUCUGAAGUGUAUUUAUUUUAUUUUAUUAAUACAAUAGUUAAAAGGAAUUAACCAAGCGGUUCUCCCGUCAAUAUUCUUUCAAAAAAAGAAUCAGUUCAUAAGAGCGAUUCGCUCGCGAAUCAGACGUCACCACGUGAUGUCACGCGCUCUCUUCUUCGACGGUAUUCAGCAGCGCUAUAAAUACGGGCGCGCUAGUCAGUGCGCUCUCUCACUUUUGCGAUGUUUGAGUGGAAGAACAUCAGGGCGUAUAAGAAUAUGAAACUCAGGCUGCUACAGAAAGGAGGCUGAAUGUGGUCUGGAUCUCCAGCUGCUGCAGCUCUGAUGUGAGUGUGCUGUUUCUCUCUCUGGUUUGGGACCCCAGCGGUAGUCAGCUGUGCAGGCGGCCCGUGCCUGAGCUAGUGUUACUCUGCUGGAAGAGAAAGAGCCGUCUGUGCUCCUGCAGGUUUGGCUGUUUUAGUGACUCCUGCGGUGCAGCACAGGGCAAGCCGUGCCUUCUGAGAGUGGUCUGUGCUCACACAAUGAGGCAGGCCUAGUCUGGGGGCGAACACGCAACUCAAACCUGACUUUUGAGCCAGAGUUUCUAACUAGGACUGUUACAGGUCACACAAGACCCCGAAUACCGUGAUUCUGUUUUCUUUUUCAUCAUAGUAGUUUUAUUACCUUGAAAUAUGAUUAUCACAGUUAACCUUAAGUUUAUGCCAUUGUUUGAAAUGACAGCAUGCCAUAUUUUUCUAUGAAAAACACUUCAAGUAGGUUGUGAAUGCCAUUCUCAUGUUGGAUGAUAUGUAACAUUACUUUGACCUGAUUGUUUUGUUUUUUUCCCCCUAACUUAUUACAGGAUAAGGUAAAUGUUCAAAGAUCUGGAAGGUCGAUCAAGAUUCGGGAUCGUCCUGUUGUGGGUAAGCUUUGACUUCAGUGUUGUGAUCCAAGUUGAUACCAUCAU